AUGGAUCGGUGCUUCCUUUAUAAACUCUGCUAAUGGUUUGUGGUAAACACUGGAGUUUUUCUUGCACAUUUCACCCCGACAUAGAAACUACACGCAUAACAUAAGAAAUUAAAAUAAUUUUUUUUCCCCACUCCAUGGCCCAGAAACAACAUUUUCCUACCCUGGGAAAUCAAACUCUUUGUCUCUUCAAUAUAUAUACGGUCGAUCCUUUGUCGUCUGGUGUGCUAAUUUAGUCAAAAACGUUUAAAAUCUGAAAGAAAAAUAAAUAAACUGGUGUUGGAAAUUAAUGAAACACACAACUACAAGCUACUAUAUAUAACAUCUAUUCACGACAGACACGAAUUUUAAAAUAGAUACUUUCAAUCUAGCACACAAAGCGCGAACAGGCCAGCAAGUAAAUGCGACAGCGACGGAUCUCAACAAAGGUCAAAGAAAGCUGUAAAAGCCCCUGGAAAAAUGGCAGUGUUUUAUGGCAGGUCAGCUCAGUUUGUCGCCGGCAAACACCAGUCAAAAGGCGAAUAAAUAGUGAGGUGAGAGGGUAUAAAACAAUAAAAUAUGCACAUAGGAUAAUGCCACUAGUUAUUUAACCCCUUGACACCAAGCAAAGAUUUUAUGACUCCUUAAACAAGCGUUCCUCUCACCAAACACUCGGUCACUCAUUUCAUGGAGAACGCUCUGAAAUAAAGAAAUAAUUCAUUCUAAGGAGUUUCUUUUUGUUUUGGGGAUUCAUUGAUAUUUUAAGGCUGGUUUUUAGAUGUAGCCUACAGAAAAGAUGCAAAUCUAUUGUAACAGCAAAGGAGAAAGUUCAGCCUUGGUGUCCACUCUAACCCUUUCACCCCCUGAAGUCCCCGACCUCGCCUUCACCCCCGUGAGCCAUCUCCUUCUGAAAGCCAUAGGGACCUCGAGCCAUCUGCCUCAUUAUGGGGUUAAUGUGUACACCGACAGGCAUUCAAAGCCGCGGCUCAGAGACUAUAGCCAAGGUAGUUUCUUCCUCGUUGAAGAAGCACGGAAUCCGGAGAGACAACUGGAUUGCAAUGGACUUAGAGAGCCAACUUUUCUGAAAACAUAUGUGGGAAGUCACUUAUUUAGUGAUAAGGAGUGAACAAUUUUUCACCCGUCUGGAUAUGGAGUUAUGUUUUUUUAUAUAUAUGAAUUUGUUGUUGUCAAGUAUGCUAUAACGUUCUGUAAAUUCACCCGAGUGUGGAGCAUAUGUGAGUAUGUCAGAUGUGGAUUAAUGAACAUUAAUACACGCGUGUCUAAUUUUUCUUGUCUGUUUAUAUCAUGCUCAGCCUAUGUGGGGAAAAAAUAUCAUUGAUUAUUGUCAUUGACUGGUCUUUUUAUGUGAAAUUUUGACUAUAAAAAUUAAUAGGCAACAUGGAUUUAAAACUGUAAAAAGGCACGUUCAUAUAUCAGACUUUUUGCUAUAAUUACUAAUUCUUGAAACUGAACAGUUAAAAUGUCAUACAGGCUUUACAUCACAUGCCGUGUUUCCUUUGUGUACAAUAUGUGUUUUAACAUAAAUAAUUGACUAUUUUUUUAGGCUUCCUUUAAAUUUACGGUAAAACUGUGGUUGCCGCGUUUAUAAUAUGUAGGCUACAUUAUGUACAUUAUUUUCGCGCUUUGUGUUUGUGGAACAGGGUUUCACUGUUUAUCUUCUCCCCUAAAUACCGGAAGGUCAGUCAGUAAUAUCUAUUUUGUUUAUGCACUGUUUGUACAUUUUUGGAGACUGUAUCUGGUGAAUCAAGUUUCGUUUUCAAAUGCGCAAGCAUUUUACCGUCAAAAAGUCAGGGGAAGGGGAGCCGCAAACUUAAAACCGCGUCUCAAUGGAAAGAAAAAUAAAUUAGAGAACUGUAUGUUAGAAAAAAAAAUAAUGGAGAUGCCCGUGUCUUUGUAAAUGAGUAAAUCAAACAUGUUAAACCUUUAAAAAUCCGGCAUUUAUGUAUUUGUAUGUCUAUGUCAGAUUUCACUAUAAUAAACCUAAAGGAUUUCCA